CCUACGGGAGGCAGCAGUGGGGAAUCUUAGACAAUGGGCGCAAGCCUGAUCUAGCCAUGCCGCGUGAGUGAUGAAGGCCUUAGGGUCGUAAAGCUCUUUCGCCUGUGAAGAUAAUGACUGUACCAGGUAAAGAAACCCCGGCUAACUCCGUGCCAGCAGCCGCGGUAAUACGGAGGGGGUUAGCGUUGUUCGGAAUUACUGGGCGUAAAGCGCGCGUAGGCGGACAUUUAAGUCAGAGGUGAAAUCCCAGGGCUCAACCCUGGAACUGCCUUUGAUACUGGGUGUCUUGAGUUCGAGAGAGGUGAGUGGAAUUCCGAGUGUAGAGGUGAAAUUCGUAGAUAUUCGGAGGAACACCAGUGGCGAAGGCGGCUCACUGGCUCGAUACUGACGCUGAGGUGCGAAAGUGUGGGGAGCAAACAGGAUUAGAUACCCUGGUAGUCCACACCGUAAACGAUGAAUGCCAGUCGUCGGGUAGUAUACUAUUCGGUGACACACCUAACGGAUUAAGCAUUCCGCCUGGGGAGUACGGUCGCAAGAUUAAAACUCAAAGGAAUUGACGG
rnacentral:rRNA from 1 species